rnacentral:rRNA from 1 species
AGAGUUUGAUCAUGGCUCAGAUUGAACGCUGGCGGCAGGCCUAACACAUGCAAGUCGAGCGGUAGCACAGAGAGCUUGCUCUCGGGUGACGAGCGGCGGACGGGUGAGUAAUGUCUGGGAAACUGCCUGAUGGAGGGGGAUAACUACUGGAAACGGUAGCUAAUACCGCAUAACGUCGCAAGACCAAAGUGGGGGACCUUCGGGCCUCAUGCCAUCAGAUGUGCCCAGAUGGGAUUAGCUAGUAGGUGAGGUAACGGCUCACCUAGGCGACGAUCCCUAGCUGGUCUGAGAGGAUGACCAGCCACACUGGAACUGAGACACGGUCCAGACUCCUACGGGAGGCAGCAGUGGGGAAUAUUGCACAAUGGGCGCAAGCCUGAUGCAGCCAUGCCGCGUGUGUGAAGAAGGCCUUCGGGUUGUAAAGCACUUUCAGCGGGGAGGAAGGCGUUAAGGUUAAUAACCUUGGCGAUUGACGUUACCCGCAGAAGAAGCACCGGCUAACUCCGUGCCAGCAGCCGCGGUAAUACGGAGGGUGCAAGCGUUAAUCGGAAUUACUGGGCGUAAAGCGCACGCAGGCGGUCUGUCAAGUCGGAUGUGAAAUCCCCGGGCUCAACCUGGGAACUGCAUUCGAAACUGGCAGGCUAGAGUCUUGUAGAGGGGGGUAGAAUUCCAGGUGUAGCGGUGAAAUGCGUAGAGAUCUGGAGGAAUACCGGUGGCGAAGGCGGCCCCCUGGACAAAGACUGACGCUCAGGUGCGAAAGCGUGGGGAGCAAACAGGAUUAGAUACCCUGGUAGUCCACGCCGUAAACGAUGUCGAUUUGGAGGUUGUGCCCUUGAGGCGUGGCUUCCGGAGCUAACGCGUUAAAUCGACCGCCUGGGGAGUACGGCCGCAAGGUUAAAACUCAAAUGAAUUGACGGGGGCCCGCACAAGCGGUGGAGCAUGUGGUUUAAUUCGAUGCAACGCGAAGAACCUUACCUGGUCUUGACAUCCACAGAACUUUCCAGAGAUGGAUUGGUGCCUUCGGGAACUGUGAGACAGGUGCUGCAUGGCUGUCGUCAGCUCGUGUUGUGAAAUGUUGGGUUAAGUCCCGCAACGAGCGCAACCCUUAUCCUUUGUUGCCAGCGGUCAGGCCGGGAACUCAAAGGAGACUGCCAGUGAUAAACUGGAGGAAGGUGGGGAUGACGUCAAGUCAUCAUGGCCCUUACGACCAGGGCUACACACGUGCUACAAUGGCAUAUACAAAGAGAAGCGACCUCGCGAGAGCAAGCGGACCUCAUAAAGUAUGUCGUAGUCCGGAUUGGAGUCUGCAACUCGACUCCAUGAAGUCGGAAUCGCUAGUAAUCGUAGAUCAGAAUGCUACGGUGAAUACGUUCCCGGGCCUUGUACACACCGCCCGUCACACCAUGGGAGUGGGUUGCAAAAGAAGUAGGUAGCUUAACCUUCGGGAGGGCGCUUACCACUUUGUGAUUCAUGACUGGGGUGAAGUCGUAACAAGGUAACCGUAGGGGAACCUGCGGUUG